AAUAGAUACCCGGGUAGUCCACGCCGUAAACGAUGAGUGCUAAGUGUUAGAGGGUUUCCGCCCUUUAGUGCUGCAGCUAACGCAUUAAGCACUCCGCCUGGGGAGUACGGCCGCAAGGCUGAAACUCAAAGGAAUUGACGGGGGCCCGCACAAGCGGUGGAGCAUGUGGUUUAAUUCGAAGCAACGCGAAGAACCUUACCAGGUCUUGACAUCCUCUGACAACCCUAGAGAUAGGGCUUUCCCCUUCGGGGGACAGAGUGACAGGUGGUGCAUGGUUGUCGUCAGCUCGUGUCGUGAGAUGUUGGGUUAAGUCCCGCAACGAGCGCAACCCUUGAUCUUAGUUGCCAGCAUUCAGUUGGGCACUCUAAGGUGACUGCCGGUGACAAACCGGAGGAAGGUGGGGAUGACGUCAAAUCAUCAUGCCCCUUAUGACCUGGGCUACACACGUGCUGCAAUGGAUGGUACAAAGGGCUGCAAACCUGCGAAGGUAAGCGAAUCCCAUAAAGCCAUUCUCAGUUCGGAUUGCAGG
rnacentral:rRNA from 1 species